rnacentral:rRNA from 1 species
UACGUAGGGUGCAAGCGUUACUCGGAAUCACUGGGCGUAAAGGGUGCGUAGGCUGCCUGUUAAGUUGGAUGUGAAAGCCCUCGGCUUAACCGAGGAACUGCGUCCAAAACUGGCGGGCUUGGGGUCGGUAGGGGACAGUGGAACUCCAGGUGGAGCGGUGAAAUGCGUAGAGAUCUGGAGGAACUCCGGUGGCGAAAGCGACUGUCUGGGCCGAACCCGACGCUGAGGCACGAAAGCGUGGGGAGCAAACAGG